rnacentral:rRNA from 1 species
UACGUAGGGUGCAAGCGUUGUCCGGAAUUAUUGGGCGUAAAGAGCUCGUAGGCGGUUUGUCGCGUCUGCUGUGAAAACUCGGGGCUUAACCCCGGGCCUGCAGUGGGUACGGGCAGACUAGAGUGCGGUAGGGGAGACUGGAAUUCCUGGUGUAGCGGUGAAAUGCAUAGAUAUCUUCUAGAACCCCGAUUGCGAAGGCAGCUGACUAGACUGUAUCUGACGCUGAGGCACGAAAGCGUGGGGAGCGAACAGG